CGUGACCCUGAUGCACCAAUGGUUGUCUGAACUGGAGUCCUAGGCUCAUGCGCAUCAGCGGCCUCUGGUUUUGCGCAGUAACUUCCCUUUCUUAAGAGAGGUGCUUAGGUCCCUGGGAUGACCCCAAGAAGAAACAGGGAUGUCUGUGCCAGAGCUUUCAGCUGUGUUCUGGACGUUCCCCCCUUGUUGCCUGAACCCCAGAACGUUUGGGGAGGCAGUGGGCUCUUUCUGACCCCCUGGGCAGCAUUCUUGCCUCUCUUCUCAUGCUCCCUCACUCACUCCCAUAGACUGGUUUUUGUCUCUGUCCCUGCCUCUCCCCUGAGCCCCUUUACCUAAGAACCCCACAGGACAACCCCCGGAUGCCCCCUGGGUCUGUCACACCCACCAGUUCCCACAAUGGCCUCAGAAUCUCCCUCAAACUCUUCUCCCCAGUCUCCUUCAUAGACUUGACCCCGCAGACCCUCUUUGCAAGCCAGAACCCUGAACCUUGUGCUGGCCAUAUCUUUCCCAUAGAACCCAUCAGUCCCAUGGCCCAUGCUCUCGGCGCUCCCUGCCCUCCAGUCUCCCUGCCUUGUCCCAGCCUGGGCUCCCAGCUUGUCUCCACUCUCCAGUCCAUCCUCCACAUGACAGCCAUAGGGAUCUCCUUGACCCUUUUCUUUCCCUGCCUGAAACCCUCCUGACUCCCUCGCAGCCUUGGGACACAACCCCCACUCUGCUGUCUGGCAUAUGAGACUGCAUCCUCUGACCCUGCACAUCCCUCCAUCCCUGUCUCCUCACUCUCCAGUCUGGGUCGCACCUCUCUGUUUUUGCACAUGCCCUUGCCUUGGAAUGUUCCUCUCAAUCUUCAUGAUUUUUCUUAUGAAUUCUUGAGGAUACUCUCUUAUCACCCCAGGGUGGGUCAGGUACAACUUCUGGCCUUCUGUAGCCCUUGAGUUCCCCAUCAUAGCCCUGGCCACUCUGGGCUGUCACUGCCUAACGCCUGGACUGUGGAAACUAUGGAGUAGAGCUGAGGGUGUCUUUGUCACUGUUGUGUCCCCAGCCUUAUUCAGCCCAGAACCUAGCCCAGAAAGGGCCUUGUUGGAUGCCCAGUAACUGAGAAAGGGUUUGCCCCUUUCCUCUGUCUCUCCCUGGGCCUGUGGCCUCGGACCAGCCUUUUGUCUCCAGUGUCUCGGUGUCUUGCUGUUCACCUGUGCUCUUCUUUUGGGGAACCACUGAGAUGAAGAAAGUCCCUGCGUCAGUCAUGGACCAGGAGCAUCCCAGGAUGAGCUGACUCGGAGUCCAGGAGAGGCUUCAUUAGUCCUCCAGCUAUGGCCUUGCUGUGUGCCAUGGCCAUCUAAAGAGCUCGCCUGAGCCACAGAACCCCCGACUCAGGCUGGAUGAGGUCAAUAUGAGUCCUUCCCCCAGGAAGCAGCUUCGGUUCAAAAGAGCAGGCCAGGCAGUAACUUUAUUGACCAUAUGACCCUGGGAGUGCUAAUAGGGGGCCCUUGGGCUUUGCCCCAGCAGCCUCCGCUGCAGUUCUUGGCUGAGCAGAGACUGUUCCCUGCGGGCACCCUGCAGCACGCUUCGGUUCUCCUGCGCCCUCCGGAUCAGGGGAUUGAACUUGGGACCUUGUGCUUUCAAGCCAGGUGGUGGAACCACUGAGCUAAAUCCCCGGCUCUGUACAUUCUUUUUUUUAUCAUUAUUCCCUAAACAAUACAGUAUAACAACUAUUUAUUUACCUCUUACAUUGUGUUAGAUAAUAUAAGUAAUUUUUAGAUGAUUUAAAACAUAUGGGAGGAUGUGUGUAGGUUAUAUGCAAAUGUUAUAUGCUAUUUUAUAUGAGGGAUUUGUGCAUCUGAGGAUUUUGCUAUCUGUAGAUUUUGAUCUCCGUGGGUGCAGGGAGUAUUCUGGAGCCAGUUCUCCAGGAUAAUGAAAGAUGACUGUCAUUUCAAACUCAGUGAUGUUAUGGUUUGUGUCUAGAGGUCCCCCCAAAGCCUCACGAAGUCAUAGGUGGGGCUUUGCAGAGGUGGCUGGAUUCAAAGUGUGUGAUGCUAGGAUCAAGGAUGUGAUUGAUUCACGAUGCAAUGCUAGGAUUAAGGGUGUGAGUGCUACCCACCCUAGAGGUGGGUAGCCUGGAUAAGAUACAAGGGACAGAAAGAGGGUCCUCCCUUGUCACUUGUUGCCCCUGGUCUCUUUGCUUGCUAGUUGGCUGCCUACUGCCUGCCAUGAACUGUUUCUCUUCCACAGUGCCCCUCUGUCAUGCCACCCUGCCUUGGAGCCAGCAAAUUAUGAACUGAAACCUCUAUAAACUAUGAGCCAAAAUAAACCUUUCCUCCUUUAACUUUGGGUGUCGAUUAUUUUGUUGCAACAAUGGGAAAAAGUAACUAAAACAGUAGUAAACAAGCACUCUUGAGUUUCCCUGAAGACCCUGAGUUCUGGCCAAUUCUUG
rnacentral:lncRNA from 1 species